UUUGUAGUGUAAAUGUGUCUCAUGCAAUAUUUAGGACAUACUUAUGCUAAAA
rnacentral:pre_miRNA from 1 species